rnacentral:rRNA from 1 species
GCAACGAGCGCAACCCUUGUCAUUAGUUGCUACGAAAGGGCACUCUAAUGAGACUGCCGGUGACAAACCGGAGGAAGUGGGGAUGACGUCAAGUCCUCAUGGCCCUUAUAGGUGGGGCUACACACGUCAUACAAUGGCUGGUACAAAGGGUUGCCAACCCGCGAGGGGGAGCCAAUCCCAUAAAGCCAGUCGUAGUCCGGAUCGCAGUCUGCAACUCGACUGCGUGAAGUCGGAAUCGCUAGUAAUCGUGGAUCAGCAUGUCACGGUGAAUACGUUCCCGGGUCUU